rnacentral:rRNA from 1 species
AGAGUUUGAUCCAUGGCUCAGGAUGAACGCUAGCGGCAGGCCUAAUACAUGCAAGUCGAACGGGAUCUAGAAGCUUGCUUUUAGUGAGAGUGGCGCACGGGUGCGUAACGCGUAUGCAACCUACCUUAUACAGGGGGAUAGCCCGGGGAAACUCGGAUUAAUACCCCAUGGUACAUUUGGAUGGCAUCAUUUAAAUGUUAAAGAUUUAUCGGUAUAAGAUGGGCAUGCGUAGGAUUAGCUAGUUGGUAAGGUAACGGCUUACCAAGGCAACGAUCCUUAGGGGUUCUGAGAGGAAGGUCCCCCACACUGGUACUGAGAUACGGACCAGACUCCUACGGGAGGCAGCAGUAGGGAAUAUUGGGCAAUGGUCGGAAGACUGACCCAGCCAUGCCGCGUGCAGGAAGACGGCCUUAUGGGUUGUAAACUGCUUUUAUCAGGGAAGAAAAAGGUCAUGCGUGACAAAUGGAACGGUACCUGAUGAAUAAGCACCGCA